UACGUAGGGUGCAAGCGUUGUCCGGAAUUAUUGGGCGUAAAGAGCUCGUAGGCGGUUUGUCGCGUCUGCUGUGAAAACUCGGGGCUUAACUCCGGGCCUGCAGUGGGUACGGGCAGACUAGAGUGCGGUAGGGGAGACUGGAAUUCCUGGUGUAGCGGUGAAAUGCGCAGACAUCAGGAGGAACACCGAUGGCGAAGGCAGGUCUCUGGGCCACUACUGACGCUGAGAAGCGAAAGCAUGGGGAGCGAACAGG
rnacentral:rRNA from 1 species